UUUUGUGUGUUCCAUCAUUUCUGUCAAUUUCAGUUGCAUCAAGGGAUCCAGCGUAUUAUGGACUCGAUGAAGUUGAACUCUCCAGACGACGGAACUGGACUGGCUCUGCUCGUAAUCAGAUUGGUACUGUAAAAAGGGCUGUUGAAAAGGGGAAGAGCAAUCCUGCAAUGGCAAGACAUCAGGACAAUGGUACAAGCAGAACUAACUACUAUUCUUCCCAAGACAAUGAUGACUAUAUUGCUUCAGAAUCAGAUAGACAGCUUCUACUCAUGAGGCAGCAGGAUGAUGAACAUG